UGAACGCUGGCGGAAUGCUUUACACAUGCAAGUCGAACGGUAGAGGGGGCAACCCCUCGAGAGUGGCGAACGGGUGAGUAAUAUAUCGGAACGUGCCCAGUCGUGGGGGAUAACGUAGCGAAAGUUACGCUAAUACCGCAUACGAUCUACGGAUGAAAGCGGGGGACCGUAAGGCCUCGCGCGAUUGGAGCGGCCGAUAUCAGAUUAGGUAGUUGGUGGGGUAAAGGCUCACCAAGCCAACGAUCUGUAGCUGGUCUGAGAGGACGACCAGCCACACUGGAACUGAGACACGGUCCAGACUCCUACGGGAGGCAGCAGUGGGGAAUAUUGGACAAUGGGCGAAAGCCUGAUCCAGCCAUGCCGCGUGUGUGAAGAAGGUCUUCGGAUUGUAAAGCACUUUAAGUUGGGAGGAAGGGUUGUAGAUUAAUACUCUGCAAUUUUGACGUUACCGACAGAAUAAGCACCGGCUAACUCUGUGCCAGCAG
rnacentral:rRNA from 1 species